rnacentral:rRNA from 1 species
GACGAACGCUGGCGGCGUGCUUAACACAUGCAAGUCGAACGGAGUGGCGAACGGGUGAGUAACACGCGGGUGACCUGCCCUGCACUUCGGGAUAAGCCAGGGAAACUGGGUCUAAUACCGGAUAGUGUGGGAUGGGCCCGCGGCCUAUCUGCUUGUUGGUGGGGUAAUGGCCUACCUAGGCGGCGACGGGUGGCCGGCCUGAGAGGGUGGACGGCCACAGUGGGCCGGAGACACGGCCCAGACGCCUACGGGAGGCAGCAGUGAGGGAGAUAGCACGAUAGGCGGAAGCCUGAAGCAGCGACGCCGCGUGGGAGAUGACGGCCUUCGGGUUGUAAACUCCUUUCACCAUCGACGCGGUAGAUGGAGAAGAAGCACCGGCUAACUACGUGCCAGCAGCCGCGGUAAUAC